rnacentral:misc_RNA from 1 species
UCCGAGUUGACCCCGGCAGUCUCCGAUGAGUCCCCGGCAUAACCCGCUGGCAACAUCGGACAAGGGUUGCGCUCGUUGCGGGACUUAACCCAACAUCUCACGACACGAGCUGACGACAGCCAUGCAGCACCUGUGCGCGAUCUCCGAAGAGGGGCUCUCGUUUCUGAGAGCUUGCUCGCGCAUGUCAAGCCUAGGUAAGGUUCUUCGCGUUGCGUCGAAUUAAACCACAUGCUCCACCGCUUGUGCGGGCCCCCGUCAAUUCCUUUGAGUUUCAGCCUUGCGGUCGUACUCCCCAGGCGGGGUACUUCCUGUGUUAGCGCCGGUACUCCAAGGGUCGCUCCCCGGAGCACCUAGUGCCCAUCGUUUACGGCGUGGACUAC